AAUGAACACCUCAAACAUCAUGGCCUUUAACCCAGAGACAUGGUUUAUUGGAAAGGACACCUCCAUCAAGAUUCCUUCCAGGAGGGUAUGGAGGAUCAUACCAGGGGAACCCACAUCAAAGUUUGUCCAAACAGACCCCAGUUGGAGAAGAAUCGUGAACACACCAGUCUAUGAGCCCGACUUGAACAGCAGGCUGGUCUCUGGCUACCCUUACCUCGGAGACGUGCACACGGACAGUAUGUACCCCAAAAGCCGGCUUUGGAUAGACCUUGCCCUCCGAGCUUGUGAAAUUUAGGCCUCCACUGCCAGCAUCACCCCUGGUGGAGAGCGAGCCCACCUUUUGAAAAUCGCUCUGAGCCCAUAGGUGUGAAAGGGUGACAGGCGGUCAUCAUGCAGACUUGCUGCCUGUGGGCUACAGGCCUUCUGGGGGAAUCAGGACUCCCCUGGGUCUCCAUACCACAGGCCACUUCCUAGUAAGGCAGUUGAAAAACCUCCAGCUCUGCUUCUGGGGGCAUAUUCCAUAAUGUAGGUAGGCCUUGUCCAUUAGGCCAAUACCCCGUACCCCCACUAGCUCUUCUCUGUGAUGCUCAUCAACUGCGGUGGCCCUGUUGCAAGUCUCCUUUUGGCCUCAACUGCCAGACCUGCUCACGCAGACUCUGUACUCUGCCACCGGGCCUUGGGUGGCAGGGGCAACCCAAUGACCUCAAUAUCCUCCGGGUAGAAGGAGCCCACCCCUGGGAAGUCUUUCUGAGGCCAUAACUUUAACCUGGCAACAGGG